AUUGAACGCUAGCGGCAUGCCUUACACAUGCAAGUCGAACGGAGUGGCGAACGGGUGAGUAAUGUAUCGGAACGUGCCCAGUAGCGGGGGAUAACUACGCGAAAGCGUAGCUAAUACCGUCUACUAUUGGAGCGGCCGAUUUCGGAUUAGCUGGUUGGUGGGGUAACGGCUCACAGAGGCGACGAUCCGUCGCUGGUUUGAGAGGAAGACCAGCCACACUGGGACUGUGACAGCGCCCAUACGCCUACGGGAGGAAGCAGUGGGAAAUUUUGGACAAUGGGGGAAUCCCGGAUCCAUCCAUCCCGCGGGUGCGAUGAAGGCCUUGGGGUUGUAAGGCACUUUUGGCAGGAAAGCGGUACCUGCAGAAUAAGCGCCGGCUAACUACGUGCCAGCAGCCGCGGUAAUUC
rnacentral:rRNA from 1 species